CAGCAGUGAGGAAUAUUGGUCAAUGGCCGCAGGGCUGAACCAGCCAAGUCGCGUGAGGGAUGACGGUCCUAUGGAUUGUAAACCUCUUUUGUCAGGGAGCAAAGGGCGCCACGUGUGGCGCUUUGCGAGUACCUGAAGAAAAAGCAUCGGCUAACUCCGUGCCAGCAGCCGCGGUAAUACGGAGGAUGCGAGCGUUAUCCGGAUUUAUUGGGUUUAAAGGGUGCGCAGGCGGAAUGUCAAGUCAGCGGUAAAAUUUCGGGGCUCAACCCCGUCGUGCCGUUGAAACUGGCGUUCUUGAGUGAGCGAGAAGUAUGCGGAAUGCGUGGUGUAGCGGUGAAAUGCAUAGAUAUCACGCAGAACUCCGAUUGCGAAGGCAGCAUACCGGCGCUCAACUGACGCUCAUGCACGAAAGCGUGGGUAUCGAACAGGAUUAGAUACCCUGGUAGUCCACGCAGUAAACGAUGAAUACUAACUGUCCGGGCAGAAUGAUGCCUGG
rnacentral:rRNA from 1 species